AUGUAUUUGGACAAAGAUGGGUUGAAGGGUUGCAUAAAGAUAAUGUACGGAGAGUAUUUUGUGAUAUUUCUCCCUGUUUUCUGUAUUGUUUUCUUUGGUUUUCUCAACUGUUUUUCAGGUUUCUUAGCUGAUUUAUUUUGGCAUCUUGGAGCAAGCAUUGGAGCAGCAUCAACAGGUUUCUUAUCUGUUUUGUUUUGGCAUCUUGAAGCAAGCAUUGGAGCAACAACAACAACUUUUUGGAGUGUUAUAUUUGACCAUUUUGUAGACUAG